rnacentral:rRNA from 1 species
AACGAACGCUGGCGGCAUGCCUAACACAUGCAAGUCGAACGAGACCUUCGGGUCUAGUGGCGCACGGGUGCGUAACGCGUGGGAACCUGCCCUUAGGUUCGGAAUAACUCCCCGAAAGGGGUGCUAAUACCGGAUAAUGUCUUCGGACCAAAGAUUUAUCGCCUUUGGAUGGGCCCGCGUUGGAUUAGCUAGUUGGUAGGGUAAAAGCCUACCAAGGCGACGAUCCAUAGCUGGUCUGAGAGGAUGCUCAGCCACACUGGGACUGAGACACGGCCCAGACCCCUACGGGAGGCAGCAGUGGGGAAUAUUGGACAAUGGGCGAAAGCCUGAUCCAGCAAUGCCGCGUGAGUGAUGAAGGCCUUAGGGUUGUAAAGCUCUUUUACCCGGGAUGAUAAUGACAGUACCGGGAGAAUAAGCUCCGGCUAACUCCGUG